rnacentral:rRNA from 1 species
UACGUAGGUGGCAAGCGUUGUCCGGAUUUACUGGGCGUAAAGGGCGUGCAGGCGGUUUGUUAAGUGCAGGGUGAAAGCUCCCGGCUCAACUGGGAGAGGUCCUUGCAUACUGGCAAACUCGAGGGAGGCAGAGGAAAGUGGAAUUCCCGGUGUAGUGGUGAUAUGCGUAGAUAUCGGGAGGAACACCUGUGGCGAAAGCGGCGCACUGGACCACAACUGACGCUGAGGCGCGAAAGCUAGGGGAGCAAACAGG